UGCUGAGGGCUGAAGCUGACCCCACAAGAACCUGUGGAUAUUUGCUGCAAAAGCUGGAACCUUAAGGAAAUAUCCAAAAAAAGUGCCACACUCUCAGUCUCUAGAACUUUCCUUUCCAUACCCAUAUAUGCUCAUUACACUCUUGUCUGCCACCGUUUUUCUGACAUAGUAUGCAAGAGACACUUGCUUCAGGUUCAAGCAUAAAUCCCACUUCCAAAUAAAGCUGCGAAUUUCAAGAAAGUUUUGAUCUUUUGAGGGGAAAUGGAGGGUGUGAAGGUGAAAGUAGAAGAGGAGUGCGCCGCCGCAGGCUAUGGUGGUGGUGCGGUUGCGUCAUUGUCGUCUUCAUCUUCUUCCCCACUGCCGAUGGAGGGGUUGCAUGAAGUGGGACCGCCUCCAUUCUUGAUCAAGACUUAUGAAAUGGUGGAGGACCCUUCAACUGAUUCGGUGAUCUCGUGGAGCAGAGGCAAGAACAGCUUCAUUGUUUGGGAUUCUCACAAGUUCUCCACCACUCUGCUUCCCAGAUACUUCAAGCACAGCAACUUCUCCAGCUUCAUUCGGCAGCUGAACACAUAUGGUUUCAGAAAAGUUGAUCCAGACAGAUGGGAAUUUGCCAAUGAGGGGUUUCUGGGAGGGCAAAAGCACCUCUUGAAGACCAUCAAGAGAAGGAGAAAUGUGAUGCAGGGUAUUACUCAGCAAAGUGGAGGUGGUUCUUGUGUAGAGAUAGGGCAGUAUGGGAUGGAAGAAGAGCUCGAAAGACUGAAACGUGACCGGAAUUUGUUAAUGGCAGAGAUAGUGAAGCUCAAACAACAGCAGCAGAGCUCGAGGGAAAGAAUUGUGGCAAUUGAAGACCGGAUUCUCAGCACGGAGAAGAAGCAGCAACACAUUAUGAGCUUUCUUGCUAAAGCCUUCAAAAGCCCUUUAUUCGUUCAGCAAUACGUUGAUAAAUACGCACAGAGGGAGGAUAAGCAACAUAUUGAAAUAGGCCAUAAGAGAAGGCUCACUAUGAGUCCAAGUGUUGAGAACUUUCAAGAAGUAGUGACUGUUGCAGCAGGUGGUAGUGGGCCUUCAGCUGAUCCAAAUGAGCUUGAUGAUAUUGACUUGGAGGUGAAGACACUGUUUUCUGCUGCACUGGAUGAUGAAUCGAGCAGCGAUGUGAAGGGUUCUGCGGCAGAGAUGGUGCCUUCUAGUAACGAUGCUGGUUUGAAUCCGACGACUGAGGAGAUAUGGGAGAAGUUCCUGAAUGAUGAUCUAAUAGGUGGUGAUGACACGGAGGAAGUGUUGGCAGCUGAGCACCUGUCGGAUGAUGUGGAAGUAGAAGAAUUGGUAGCCAAAACAUCGGAGUGGACGGGUGAGGAUUUACAAGAUCUUGUAGACCAGUUGGGGUUUAUUUAAUUGAAGCAGAUGAAGAUUCUAAUGCGCUGUAUAUUAAGUAUAUGUACAGCAAUGUUUCUUGUUAUUUUCCAUGUCUGGGAAUCUGAGAUGGAAUAAGCUAACAAACAGCUCUGAGGAUACCAAGAGGAAAUGGUCCAGCUUUUCAGCAACAGUGGAAACAAUCCCCUAUCGUCCCGGAUACAGCACAAUGCAACUGGACGACUUCCAUAACAUAACUGUUUACAUUUGAAUGAAUUCCUCGCUUCCAGGUGUUGGUUUUUGCAUGUGGACAAGGGAAGACAAAGGAAAAUCUGUUCAAAAAGAGACGGUAGCUCUAAUCGAAUUCCUGUUCCAUGGUCAAGAUUCAAGAAACUGACAAUGGUAGAAGAAAAUUUCUAUAGAGAUUUUCGUGGUGUAAUUGCUGGAGACAGAACUC